UCAAGGCUCAUUUCAGCACAACAAUUGUUUCUUUGAGUAUAAAAUCUGUGUUUCUUUUAUCACUAGAGUUCGGUUUUGUUUAAUUAUAUCGCCUGCAGAUUUCGUCACUAUAUUCUGUACGCAAAAUUUAGAAGGUUCGAAACACAACGAAUAUUAUUCAGGUUCAAACUUAACAGUUCUGGUCAAAACAGCAUUGAAUUUUCGCUGGUUGCAAAAUAAACCAUUCAUCGCAAAACCCGUAUCAAUUUCAUACCAUGUAUCAAAAACAUUUGACGUUUCGAUAUAAAUUCAGAACAGAAGGUACUGAAUGACCGGUCUAUUCUGUACACCAGUAGGAACUUCUCUAUUCUUUAAUCAGCAUUAUUAUAAGAAAAUGUAUUCUCGCAGUCCUCACAUGGCGACCCUAACGCUUAUCUUGACUUAAUGUGACUUCAAAUAAAAUUUAAUUUUUUCAAAAA